rnacentral:tRNA from 1 species
CAAGACCUGUGUUGUACUAAAACACAUCUUUUGAAUGCAACCCAAACACUUUAAUUAAGCUAAGGCCUU